GAUGAACGCUGGCGGCGUGCCUAAUACAUGCAAGUCGAGCGAACGGACGAGAAGCUUGCUUCUCUGAUGUUAGCGGCGGACGGGUGAGUAACACGUGGUUAACCUACCUAUAAGACUGGGAUAACUUCGGGAAACCGGAGCUAAUACCGGAUGAUAUUUUGAACCGCAUGGUUCAAAAGUGAAAGACGGUCUUGCUGUCACUUAUAGAUGGAUCCGCGCUGCAUUAGCUAGUUGGUAAGGUAACGGCUUACCAAGGCAACGAUGCAUAGCCGACCUGAGAGGGUGCUCGGCCACACUGGAACUGAGACACGGUCCAGACUCCUACGGGAGGCAGCAGUAGGGAAUCUUCCGCAAUGGGCGAAAGCCUGACGGAGCAACGCCGCGUGAGUGAUGAAGGUCUUCGGAUCGUAAAACUCUGUUAUUAGGGAAGAACAUAUGUGUAAGUAACUGUGCACAUCUUGACGGUACCUAAUCAGAAAGCCACGGCUAACUACGUG
rnacentral:rRNA from 1 species